rnacentral:rRNA from 1 species
UUAAAUUGAAGAGUUUGAUCAUGGCUCAGAUUGAACGCUGGCGGCAGGCCUAACACAUGCAAGUCGAACGGUAACAGGAAUCAGCUUGCUGAUUCGCUGACGAGUGGCGGACGGGUGAGUAAUGUCUGGGAAACUGCCUGAUGGAGGGGGAUAACUACUGGAAACGGUAGCUAAUACCGCAUAACGUCGCAAGACCAAAGAGGGGGACCUUCGG